rnacentral:rRNA from 1 species
CGAAAGCCUGACGGAGCAAUACCGCGUGAGGGAGGAAGGCUCUUGGGUCGUAAACCUCUUUUCUCAGGGAAGAACACAAUGACGGUACCUGAGGAAUAAGCAUCGGCUAACUCCGUGCCAGCAGCCGCGGUAAUACGGAGGAUGCAAGCGUUAUCCGGAAUUAUUGGGCGUAAAGCGUCCGCAGGCGGUUUUUUAAGUCUGUUGUUAAAGCCCACAGCUCAACUGUGGAUCGGCAAUGGAAACUGGGAGACUAGAGUGUGGUAGGGGUAGAGGGAAUUCCCGGUGUAGCGGUGAAAUGCGUAGAUAUCGGGAAGAACACCAGUGGCGAAGGCGCUCUGCUAGGCCGUAACUGACACUGAGGGACGAAAGCUAGGGGAGCG